AGGAGCUGUAUGAGGUGAAAAUCUCAUGUACGGUUCUGUAAAGUGGCAAUAAGGGUAACUUAUCUGUCAACUUUUCC
rfam:Gossypium raimondii Chr02_contig_403, whole genome shotgun sequence.